CCUUAACCUGCUAAAUAGGCACGUGAACAUGCGUUCAAGGUGCGUUCUUAGAGGGACAAACCACGUUUAGUGGUUGGAAGUUUGAGGCAAUAACAGGUCUGUGAUGCCCUUAGAUGUUCUGGGCCGCACGCGCGCUACACUGACACAGUCAGCGAGUAAGAAUGCCUUGACCGAGAGGUCUGGGAAAUCUUGUGAAACUGUGUCGUGCUGGGGAUAGACCAUUGCAAUUAUUGGUCUUCAACGAGGAAUUCCUAGUAAGCGCAAGUCAUCAGCUUGCGUUGAUUACGUCCCUGCCCUUUGUACACACCGCCCGUCGUUACUACCGAUUGAAUGGCUUAGUGAGGCCUCCGGACUGGGGCAUUGCCAGCGAUGGUGAUGUGCUCUGGGAAGCUGGUCAAACUUGGUCAUUUAGAGGAAGUACAAGUCG
rnacentral:rRNA from 1 species